rnacentral:rRNA from 1 species
GUGAGGAAUAUUGGUCAAUGGGCGGGAGCCUGAACCAGCCAAGUCGCGUGAAGGAAGAAGGAUCUAUGGUUCGUAAACUUCUUUUGCAGGGGAAUAAAGUGCAGGACGUGUCCUGUUUUGUAUGUACCCUGAGAAUAAGGAUCGGCUAACUCCGUGCCAGCAGCCGCGGUAAUACGGAGGAUCCGAGCGUUAUCCGGAUUUAUUGGGUUUAAAGGGUGCGUAGGUGGUUUGAUAAGUCAGCGGUGAAAGUUUGCAGCUUAACUGUAAAAAUGCCGUUGAAACUGUCGGACUUGAGUGUAAAUGAGGUAGGCGGAAUGCGUGGUGUAGCGGUGAAAUGCAUAGAUAUCACGCAGAACUCCGAUUGCGAAGGCAGCUUACUAAGCUACAACUGACACUGAAGCACGAAAGCGUGGGUAUCAAACAGGAUUAGAUACCCGUGUAGUCC